CGAGGUUGCUGUGGAGAUGGCUGACAAGUGCUGCCAGGCAAAUGCUCAGUUUGCAGAGAUAUCUGAGAAUCUCAAAGUCAAAAGCACAAAGGACUGCAAAGACCAGUCGGCUAAAAAUUCACUGGAAACUCUUCUCUACAAACCUGUGGACAGAGUGACGCGCAGCACGCUCGUUCUGCAUG